ACCAUAAUCUACAACACUUUACUAGCUUAGUUUUAGGACCGGGUUUUGAUUAUAAAUAAUAUAAUACGUUUAUUAUGCCCGAAACCGAUCGAGCUAGCUGAAGGCAGGUGCGGCUCUUUCCGCGACCGAACCC
rnacentral:rRNA from 1 species